GAUUUCUGACUUGGCGCACCUGGCCCGCCACGGUUACGUGUGUGAGUACCGGGAUGCGCCUGUCACUUUUCUGGUAAACUAUUGUGCUCUUCACUGAGCAUGAUAGGUAGCCAGAUCUUUUACUUUGAAAAAAUUAGAGUGUUUAAAGCAGGCGUUUGCUAUGAAUACAUUAGCAUGGAAUAAUAAGUUAGGACUUCGGUUCUAUUUUGUUGGUUUCUAGGACUGAAGUAAUGAUUGAUAGGGAUAGUUGGGGGUGCUAGUAUUCAGCGGCCAGAGGUGAAAUUCUCGGAUUCCUUGAAGACUAACUUAUGCGAAAGCAUU
rnacentral:rRNA from 1 species